rnacentral:rRNA from 1 species
AUUGAACGCUGGCGGCAUGCUUUACACAUGCAAGUCGAACGGCAGCGCGGGCUUCGGCCUGGCGGCGAGUGGCGAACGGGUGAGUAAUACAUCGGAAUAUGCCCAGUAGUGGGGGAUAGCUCGGCGAAAGCCGGAUUAAUACCGCAUACGACCUGAGGGUGAAAGCGGGGGAUCUUCGGACCUCGCGCUAUUGGAGCGGCCGAUGGCAGAUUAGCUAGUUGGUGGGGUAAAGGCCUACCAAGGCGACGAUCUGUAGCUGGUCUGAGAGGACGACCAGCCACACUGGGACUGAGACACGGCCCAGACUCCUACGGGAGGCAGCAGUGGGGAAUUUUGGACAAUGGGCGAAAGCCUGAUCCAGCAAUGCCGCGUGUGUGAUGAAGGCCUUCGGGUUGUAAAGCACUUUUGGCGGGAACGAAAAGGACUGUGCCAAUACCACGGUUCGAUGACGGUACCCGCAGAAUAAGCACCGGCUAACUACGUG